AGUGAACGCUGGCGGUAGGCCUAACACAUGCAAGUCGAACGGCAGCACAGUAAGAGCUUGCUCUUACGGGUGGCGAGUGGCGGACGGGUGAGGAAUACAUCGGAAUCUACUUUUUCGUGGAGGAUAACGUAGGGAAACUUACGCUAAUACCGCAUACGACCUACGGGUGAAAGCAGGGGAUCUUCGGACCUUGCGCGAUUGAAUGAGCCGAUGUCGGAUUAGCUAGUUGGCGGGGUAAAGGCCCACCAAGGCGACGAUCCGUAGCUGGUCUGAGAGGAUGAUCAGCCACACUGGAACUGAGACACGGUCCAGACUCCUACGGGAGGCAGCAGUGGGGAAUAUUGGACAAUGGGGGCAAGCCUGAUCCAGCCAUACCGCGUGGGUGAAGGAGGCCUUCGGGUUGUAAAGCCCUUUUGUUGGGAAAGAAAAGCAGCAGGUUAAUACCCCGCUGUUCUGACGGUACCCAAAGAAUAAGCACCGGCUAACUUCGUG
rnacentral:rRNA from 1 species